GUACUUGCUUCGGCAGCACAUAUACUAAAAUUGGGAUGAUACAGAGAAGAUUAGCGUGCUCCCUGUGCAAGGAUGACAUGCAAAUUCGUGAAGCGCUCCAUAUUUUU
ensembl:snRNA U6 U6 spliceosomal RNA